CCUGAAGCCACGCCUCUCAUCUGUGCCCCGGGGGUGGCCUGGACUUUGAAACAGGGCCCCUCUGGCUACAUGAUGCUCUGUGGCUGACAGGGGGCAAACCAAACACCAGCCUACCCAUAUCCCAGCCCGUUCUCAGCGGUGAACGAGCCACACAGACACUGUUCACCCCACCUGACCCUGCUACGCCUCUGAGCCGGGGCAGCUUGGUGUGGCGACUGCUGCAUCCGGCUGAGGUCCCAGGCGCCCAUCCUGAACACAGAAGGCGGAGGCCCGCCAUGGAACCAGCUGAAGGCUGAGAACAACAGGGGUCCCACAUCCUUGCUUCCUCCGGAGAGGGUGGAAAGUGUAACAGACAAAGCUGACUCUCCCUCACGAACCUGGGAGGGGGUCUGAAAGGAAAUCGCUGUUGGCAGGAGCCAGAGAAGAGGUGUGUGGGCAGAGUGCCAGCAGGAGCCAGGCCACUACUGAGCAAGCCCAUGGCAAGGACGGGUCCGUGGGCAGAAGAGCACGGUGGUGUGGCCCCUCGGCCUGACUCACUCUCUGAGUGCUCAGGGCACAUCAGGCAGGGUGUGUAACAAGGAACAGCAGACCGUUGCCCCUCAUCGGGGAGACUUGUCACAAUGUGGCAAGGAAAGGGAGGACCUGGCCAGCUUCCUCACAGCCAGGGACCCAGCGGCUGCCACUGUGCCUGAACUGAAGAGUUACAGUAGAUGAAUAAAUGAAUGAGCGAA